rnacentral:lncRNA from 1 species
UUCAUAAUUGUUGAAUAUCAAAUGGCUUUAUUUUGAGAGCUUUUCAAGAAAAAAUAUUUUUUAUUUUUAUUUAUUUUAUGUCCAUCGAUUUUUCGUCUAUAUGCAGUGAAAAUGUGGAAGUAGAUGAGCCUGUUCGUAACUACCGAAUUGGCCGAAACACGGUUGCGAAUAUCUACUGCGUCAAAUGUGGCAGCGAGUUAGGAUGUAAAAUAAGUAAGCCAGCGUGACAGAUAAUCCCGUUUGUGACAAUUUGAUUUAUAAAACUUGUAAUUCUUUAUUUUUGGCGUAUUCCAGUUGGGAAGGCGGAAUUCCAUUUUCUUGACGAGUAGUUACAUGUUGUAAACGAUGGGAUGAUAGAACUACUUCUCGGAAAUUUGUCGUGGAGGGAAAGUUUUUCGACCACAUUGGCUAACUUGCCGAAUGUCUGAGAUAUUUGGUAAUAAUUGCGCCUACAUUUUGUGAAUUAUGUUGCCUAAAUUUGUUUUAUUUAAUUGAAAAUCGUAGCUGCUGGUUUGAUUUACAUGUGUAUCUCAUGGUAUUUCAGGUUAUAAUUGACCGACUCGAAAGCCUUGUCCAAAAUGCAUACGGUCGAUUGAGAAGUUGUGGAUCUGAGUUCAUAGACGUUACAUUUUUUUCGUUUCUCUUUUUCCUUUUUUUUUUUUUACAAAGACAUAACAAUUUACAAGUGUGUAAAGUUUCAUCAUUAGGGGGGAAAAAAAGGGCUCGAGUAACUGCCAUUUUGCACCCUGUAUAAUUCUCACGAUUUUCCAGAUUCUGCAUUUUCGAUUAUUGCAGGGGAAAAAUUAGUUUACACAUUGUGUUUUCAAAUCGAAG